rnacentral:lncRNA from 1 species
UUGUUGCUGUUGUUGUUGGUGGCGGUGGUAGUAGCAAAUAUUCGAACGAGACCUUCGAAGACUGAAGUGGAGAAGGGUUCCGUGCCAACGGCGGUCGAGCACGGGUCAGUCGGUCCUAAGAAGCGGGCGAAAGCUUCCACGAAAGGCGCCGGAUCCGUCGUUAUAAGAGUCGGAAGAACUUUUAGUUCAGCGUACGCGGCCGGCCUCGCAUCGAAAGGGAAUCGGGUUAAUAUUCCCGAACCCGAACUCGGAGAGUGCCCGUCCGUCGGCGGGAACGUGGCGUGCUCAUCCUAGCAGCGCGUCCGUCGUCGAAGCCGGCGGCCGGGCGAAGCAGCGGCAACACAAGCGAGCCCGGAGACGUUGCCGAGAGCCCCGGGAAGAAUUCUCUCUUCUUCGUAAAGGACCGCGUCCGUGGAAUCGGCUCGUCCGGAGAUACGGAUAUGGUACCUGUAGAGCGCCGCGUCUCGGGCGGCGUCCGGUGCGCUCUCGGCGGCCCUGGAAAAUCCGGGUCCGUAACGAAUCACAGCUCUCGAGUCGGUCCGUACCCACCAUCCGCAGCAGGUCUCCAAGGUGUACAGCCUCUCGUCGAUAGCGCCAAUGUAGGUAAGGGAAGUCGGCAAAAUGGAUCCGUACCUUCGGAA